AAACAAACAAAGUUGGCUCUUCCUCUUUGUUCAGACUAUAGCGAUGCAGGAAAACACCCACAUCCGAGCCAUAUGUCGUGGAGCACCAAAUAAAAGGGGGGGGGAGGGGAGUGAAAGCAGCGCUCUCGCUCUCCCUCCCCUUUUUCUCCAGGGAGGUACGUGAGCCAGUCUACCAUGGCUAAACUGCAGUAAAGCACAAUGCUGCAGAGAUUAACCCAAGCCCAUAUCGUCAGAUCACCAGCAUGGCUAUGAGAGCCGGAGAAGCUCUGAGAGAGCAUUAAAUGGAUUAUACUGUGAGGGUGAUGGAGAGGAAACACAGGAGAAGAAGAAGAAGACGACAAUCUGCUAUCUGAUGACAGAAGACGCUCUUAUCAAGCGCUUCUCGAGUCGCUGACCUUCUCACAGGAUCGGUGAUAAAAGCGCCAAUUGAGUCCAUUGUGUACGGUUUAUCCUUCACAAGUGAGCGUGUACACACAUCCAUUAUUUAUGCUGUGUGUAAGCCAGCUGGUAAAAUGACUCAUUCUUUCUAUUCUUUCCCUCCUGGCUCCCACUGAGAGAUGAGUCACAACACGGGAUCAGUCCGGGUGAACAGCAAACCGUCCCGCUCUUCAAAGGGAAGCGUUCGCCUCCGUCUUCGGUCAGAACAAUCUCGAAAUUGUAACACUGCGCCGGCAGAAACGGUACUGUUUGUCUUGUUGUCUGUGUAAAGACUCCAAUAUUAGUGUAAACUGAAGGAAAAAAAUAUUGUGCUUGAAGUUAUUUUUGAUAUCAGUGAGAAAACAGGAAGACAAGCGGCACACAUUCAGAGUGAUGACACCCCCUACUCGUGCAUCCAAAUACCUGGUGCCAUGACAACUCCAUGACUGCUUCUACAUUAUUCAAAUUAUGGACUCAAAGUGUCAAUUUUUGAUGUCAUCUGUAUAAAACAAGAUAUUAUUCCUGAAGUCAUGAUCUUUGUUUUCUUUGUUUUUGACAAACUUCAGUCUAGCGUUUUACGUGUUUUUCUUAGAGGGCUAAAGCCAGUGUUUCCAUAUCAGCAACACUGACUUUUGAAAAUGCUUGGUUGAA